UUUGGCCGGGAUUUUGGCUCCGAUUUGGCCACAGGGGAACUCAUCGUGGAAAAACGAGCUGGGGGUAUGAAAUUUACCUCGAUCGGCGGUCGAAAAACUCCCCGGUGCGGCGGCGGGUGGCGGCGGCCAGCUCCUCCGGCGUCUGGUUCGUCUUCUCCGGUGAGGGCAGGCGGCUAGGGUUUUUGUGGUCAGGUGUGGGGGUUCUAUU
rnacentral:lncRNA from 1 species